CUACGGGUUGCAGCAGUGGGGAAUAUUGCACAAUGGAGGAAACUCUGAUGCAGCAACGCCGCGUGGCGGAUGACACUUUUCGGAGCGUAAACUCCUUUUAUAUAGGAAGAAGAUGACGGUACUAUAUGAAUAAGCGCCGGCUAACUCCGUGCCAGCAGCCGCGGUAAUACGGAGGGCGCAAGCGUUACUCGGAAUCACUGGGCGUAAAGAGCGUGUAGGCGGAUUAAAAAGUCAGAAGUGAAAUCCUAUAGCUUAACUAUAGAACUGCUUCUGAAACUCUUAAUCUAGAAUAUGGGAGAGGUAGAUGGAAUUUCUGGUGUAGUGGUAAAAUCCGUAGAGAUCAGAAGGAAUACCGAUUGCGAAGGCGAUCUACUAGAACAUUAUUUACGCGGAGACGCGAAAGCGUGGGGACCAAACAGGAUUAGAUACCCCCGUAGUC
rnacentral:rRNA from 1 species